UUCUUUUGUAGGCCCAGCUUCCACAAAAGGAGCAGUUUUUUGGUGCAGAGGUAGAGAAGCCUCUCCCUGUGGCCACUACCACCACCAACCCACAGCAGGUUUUGCCAGGCCACCACCAAUGUUCACUUAAAGCCGAAAAGCUCUUCGGUCAUCUGAAGAGGUGCACAGACUCCUCGCAAUGCAAGGCCACUGCCAGGGAAUGCUGGAGGGGUGAUGCUAGCAAUUGAAGAUUGUCUCUCCUACCCUCUUCAAUGCCUCUUUCAGCAAUAUGAAGUUAAAACCAGAUUAGUGUUGGGUCUGAAGUUCCAAAUCCUGCUGCCUCUGUGAAGUCUUUCUGCUCAUGCUAGAAGCAAUAUCACCUCUUCUAGAAUUGUAAAGUGCCAUUUUCCAUACCACUUAUAAUAUACUGUCUUGUAGAUGUUUUUCUGUCGUCUGUAUUUCAUCCCUCUAAUAGAUGAUAAAUUUCUAGAGGAUGCCUCCCACAGAAAAAGUGCUCAAUAAAUAUCUGUCAUUGGUGAAAAC
rnacentral:lncRNA from 10 species